UACGCGAGCUGGGUUCAGAACGUCGUGAGACAGUUCGGUCCCUAUCUGCCGUGGGCGUUGGAUGAUUGAAGGGAGUUGCUCCUAGUACCGAGAGGACCGGAGUGAACGAACCUCUGGUGUUCGGGUUGUCACGCCAGUGGCACUGCCCGGUAGCUAAGUUCGGAAUCGAUAACCGCUGAAAGCAUCUAAGCGGGAAGCGAGCCCUGAGAUGAGUCAUCCCUGACCCCUUGAGGGUCCUAAAGGGCCGUUGGAGACCACAACGUUGAUAGGUGGGGUGUGUAAGUGCAGCGAUGCAUUGAGCUAACCCAUACUAAUUACCCGUGAGGCUUAACCAUACAACACCCAAGAAGUGUUCUG
rnacentral:rRNA from 1 species